GCGAGCCGGCCGGCCGCGGAGCCUGGCCACGCCCCCGUCUUUCCGUUCUCAGCCUCGCCUCCAGAGCAUGCGCAAUGGGGAGGUCCGACGCUACGUUGCGUCUGGCGUCCUUCGCUCACGCCAACAGCGAAAACCUGCCUGCGGAAGCGGAACUGGGUUAUCUUUUUGAAGAUUUGCCACAGUUCUCACCUACUUAUUUGCCGCACUUGAUAGAUGAAGCAAUCUGAGAUUGAGUGAUACCACACUAGAAUGUGGUGAAGCCAAAAAUCAAGUCACAAGCUCAGAGUCCUUUCCGUCACCUCAAAAUGCCUCUCAGACUUAGGCUCAGAUUUGGAUGUUGAGAAUACAGAAGUACACCAGAAAAGUAAAGCCCUGCUGUCAUGACGCUUUAUUCAAGAGGAGAUGGAGAGAAAAAAACAGACAAGAUGGUAUCAGGUGUUGGUAAAUGUCUGGGAGACAAUAAAACAAGUUAACAUGCAAGAGAGUGGGGGGAGGGGGCAUCUUUAGCUUACAGGGAAAGACUGUCUGAUAAUUUGACAUCUGAACUGAGACAGCAGAUUAGAAAAACAGAAGGAACCAGUCUUAUGAAGAUGAGGGUGUGAGCAUUCCAAUGAGAGGGAAAGGGAAUUUCAAAGGCUCCCAGGGAGAGGAAAGAAUUUGGUACAUCAGUGGAAUAUAAAGAUGAAGAAUUGAGAGAGGCAGAGAGGGAUCUGGGAAGAAGUGGAAGAGGUAGGCAGGACUGAGGAGGCGGAAGAGGAUGUGGGAGAUUUGAGGAGAGCAGAAAAUGUGUGAAAUCCUUGUUUUGGAGAAUGGGCAAGGAACAUACUGGGGAAGUGUAGUAGGGUUGCUUGGCAGCAUUGAGACUCCUUUUGAGAUGUGUGGUCAUGAAUUUAAACUAGAACUAGUUGGCAUAGUGCACGUUGUUCUGAGGACUAGAUUAAAUGAAUGGCAGUUUUUGAUACAUGGUAGAUGCUCAAAAAUGUUGACUAGCUAUCUUAAGAGAAGAAAUAGAUGAGGAAAAUGCAACAUGCUCAAUUAUUUUUGUGACUGUUUGAAUUCAUAGGAGCACCUAAAUGUAUAUUCUGAUAUUUGCUUUAAGACUAAGGUUUUCUAAAAUAAGG
ensembl:lncRNA